CUGUCCCUCACCUGUCUCUCACCUGUCUCUCACCUGUCUCUCACCUGUCCCUCACCUGUCCCUCACCUGUCUCACCUGACAGGGGCAGUGCCAGUGGCGGCAGCCGCCGGGGCGGGAGAUUUACCGCAAGGGGAACAUCUCGGUCUACGAGGUGGACGGCAAAGACCACAAGGUGAGCCCCCAGGUGUGCCCAGCUGUGCCCAGGUGUGCCCAGCUGUGCCCAGGUGUGCCCAGCUGUGCCGGCCUCACCUGGGCACCCCCAAUUCCGGGCGGUUUUGGGCGUUUUUGGGGCGUUUUUAUGGGAUUUUUUGCGAUUUUUCAGGAAUUUUGGGGGGUUUUUUUGAUCACCUGGGCACCUCAGGUGUGCCAGGUGUGCCCAGCUGUGCCCAGCUGUGCCAGCCUCACCUGGGCACCACAAAUUUUGGGCAGUUUCGGUUGGUUUUGGUCACUUUUGGGGCAUUUUUGUGGGGUUUUGGUCCAUUUUUAUGGGAUUUUUUGCGAUUUUUUCUGGAAUUUUGGGGGAUUUUUUUGGGGAUUUUUGGUGGCAUUUGGGCACCCCAGGUGUGCCCAGCUGUGCCCAGGUGUGCCAGCCUCACCUGGGCACCCCAAAUUUUGGGAAAUCCCAAAUUUCAGAGAGAUUUUGGGGUGGUUUUGGCCAUUUUUAGUGCAUUUCAGUGGGAUUUUGGUGUAUUUUAAUAGGAUUUUGGUCCAUUUUAAUGGGAUUUUUUGGGGAUUUUUUGCCCUGUGGCCCCCCUGGGCGUUCCCAGGUGUGCCCAGGUGUGGCCAGGUGUGCCAAGGUGUGCCAACCUCACCUGGGCACCCUAAAUUUUGGGAAAUCCCAAAUUUCAGGGAGAUUUUGGGAUGGUUUUGGGUAUUUUUGGGGCAUUUUGGUCCAUUUUUAUGGGAUUUUUUUGGGUUUUUUUGGGGAUUUUUUGGAAUUUUUUUCCCUGUGGCCCCCCUGGGCGUGCCCAGGUGUGCCCAGCUGUGCCCAGCUGUGCCAGCCUCACCUGGGCACCCCAAACCUUGGGAAAUCCCAAAUUUCAGGGAGAUUUUGGGGUGGUUUUGGGUAUUUUUGGGGCAUUUUGGUCCAUUUUUUGGGGUUUUUUGGGGAUUUUUUGGGGAUUUUUUUCCCUGUGGCUCCCCUGGGUGUGCCCAGGUGUGCCCAGCUGUGCCCAGCUGUGCCAGCCUCACCUGGGCACCCCAAACCUUGGGAAAUCCCAAAUUUCAGGGAGAUUUUGGGGUGGUUUUGGGUAUUUUUGGGGCAUUUUGGUCCAUUUUUGGGGUUUUUUUGGGGAUUUUUUGGGGAUUUUUUGCCAUUUGGCCCCCCUGGGCGUUCCCAGGUGUGGCCAGGUGUGGCCAGGUGUGCCAGCCUCACCUGGGCACCCCCAAUUCCGGGCGGUUUUGGAUGAUUUUGGUCAUUCUUGGUGCAUUUUAAUGGGAUUUUGGU
rnacentral:lncRNA from 1 species